CAGUAGCCGCGGUAAUACGUAGGGGGCGAGCGUUAUCCGGAAUUACUGGGCGUAAAGAGUAUGUAGGUGGUUAAGUAAGCGUAGGGUUUAAGGCGACGGCCCAACUGUCGUAUGCCCUGCGAACUGUUUAACUUGAGUACAGGAGGGGAAGGCGGAAUUCCUAGUGUAGCGGUGAAAUGCGUAGAUAUUAGGAGGAACACCAGUGGCGAAGGCGGCCUUCUGGACUGUAACUGACACUGAGAUACGAAAGCGUGGGUAGCAAACAGGAUUAGAUACCCGCGUAGUCCCUGUCUCUUAUACA
rnacentral:rRNA from 1 species